GAGAUGGCAAAGAGAUGAGACUCUGAUGAGAGAGAGAGAGAAAAAAUUUGAAGAUCAAGUGAAGAUGGUGAUCAAACAUCCUAGUCCAGUCCAUCAAAAGAAGGAAAAUGAAUGUUCUCCUUUUGAUUUAUAGAUGCAAGCAAAGAAAUAGCACACAGGAGGAAACCACAAAGUGGAUCUACAGCAAAGCCUUCUGUCUGCCAUCAGACUGUACGUACAAUCUGCUAACAAGCAGCAAAAUGAAGAAGAGGCCUAAAGGUCACCUCUGAGCUCAGCUUUCUACUCUUCAAGGAAUGGUCCUGUGGGAACCCACCAGAUCUCAAAAGAAAGCCAAUUCUCGACAGUUCAAGGUGUCAGGUUAAAAAGGAAUACAAAUAUGAAAGUUGGAUAAGAGCUCUAAAAUUCUGCAGGAGUUGUAAGAGCAGCAUAGAAGCUAUACAGAAAAUGGUAAACAGAAAACUUUCAGAUUGCAAAUAAAUAGGAAAGCUUGAGAUGUUGUAUAAAGCAGAAAUCCUAGAUUGUAGAGAGGUAUAGAAAGUGCAUGCUGUUGUUACUAACUAUACCUGUAAUAGCCACACCUUGCAUCUGGAAGUUAUACUGUACAGUUUUAUUUUGUGUAGCAACUUGCAUGCAAGUCUUAGCCUAGCAUUGGGUACCAUGAAAUAGUAUAUACCAUGUAGUAUAAAUUACAUUGAUUUAAAAACUUUGUGUGGUGGAUAAAUUAAUGCGUAUAAUUCUGAGACCAAUGACACAA